rnacentral:misc_RNA from 1 species
UCCGAGUUGACCCCGGCAGUCUCCCAUGAGUCCCCGCCAUAACGCGCUGGCAACAUGGAACGAGGGUUGCGCUCGUUGCGGGACUUAACCCAACAUCUCACGACACGAGCUGACGACAACCAUGCACCACCUGUGAACCGGCCCCAAAAGGAGAAACCACAUCUCUGCGGCGGUCCGGUCCAUGUCAAGCCUUGGUAAGGUUCUUCGCGUUGCAUCGAAUUAAUCCGCAUGCUCCGCCGCUUGUGCGGGCCCCCGUCAAUUCCUUUGAGUUUUAGCCUUGCGGCCGUACUCCCCAGGCGGGGCACUUAAUGCGUUAGCUACGGCGCAGCAGACGUGAAUGCAUCCGCCACACCUGGGCUUGACAUGCGCCAGACGACUGCAGAGAUGUGGUUUCCCUUGU